rnacentral:rRNA from 1 species
GGAAUUGUUCGCAAUGGGCGCAAGCCUGACGACGCAACGCCGCGUGGAGGAUGAAGGUCUUCGGAUUGUAAACUCCUGUUGACCGGGAAGAAUUUCUCCGGGGCCACUACCCCUGGAGGUUGACGGUACCGGUUGAGGAAGCCCCGGCUAACUCGGUGCCAGCAGCCGCGGUAAUACAGAGGGGGCAAGUGUUGUUCGGAAUUACUGGGCGUAAAGGGCGCGUAGGCGGCCGACUAAGUCAGACGUGAAAUCCCCAGGCUCAACCUGGGAACUGCGUCUGAUACUGGAUGGCUCGAAUCCGGGAGAGGGAUGUGGAAUUCCAGGUGUAGCGGUGAAAUGCGUAGAUAUCUGGAGGAACACCGGUGGCGAAGGCGGCAUCCUGGACCGGUAUUGACGCUGAGGCGCGAAAGCCAGGGGAGCAAA